rnacentral:rRNA from 1 species
UACGGAGGGUGCAAGCGUUAAUCGGAAUUACUGGGCGUAAAGCGUGCGUAGGUGGUUCGUUAAGUCCGUUGUGAAAGCCCCGAGCUCAACUUGGGAAUUGCAGUGGAUACUGGCGAGCUAGAGUGCGGUAGAGGAAGGUGGAAUUCCCGGUGUAGCGGUGAAAUGCGUAGAGAUCCGGAGGAACACCAAAGGCGAAGGCAGUGUCCUGGGGAGUACCUGACGCUCAGGUGCGAAAGCCAGGGGAGCGAACGGG